rnacentral:misc_RNA from 1 species
AACCUUAUGGACCUGCGGGCGUAUACCUGCGGAAGGAUCAUUACAAGUGACCCCGGUCUUACCACCGGGAUGUUCAUAACCCUUUGUUGUCCGACUCUGUUGCCUCCGGGGCGACCCUGCCUUCGGGCGGGGGCUCCGGGUGGACACUUCAAACUCUUGCGUAACUUUGCAGUCUGAGUAAACUUAAUUAAUAAAUUAAAACUUUCAGCAACGGAUCU